rnacentral:misc_RNA from 1 species
AAGUCGUAACAAGGUUUCCGUAGGUGAACCUGCGGAAGGAUCAUUACUGGAUCAUCUCUUUACUGAGAUAUCUUAUCAUGUGUGAACCGAUUUCUUGGACAAUUGGUGGGUUUCGCGCUGGCUAGUCCAACGUGGACCACCAAUUGGUUUAACUAUCCAUUGAUUAUAAUAUGACCCUGACAAUGAGACUUGAAAUCAUUGAAAACUUUUAGCAAUGGAUCUCUAGGCUCUU